AUUGAACGCUGGCGGCAUGCCUUACACAUGCAAGUCGAGCGGCAGCGCGGGGGCAACCCUGGCGGCGAGCGGCGGACGGGUGAGUAAUACAUCGGAACGUGUCCUUUCGUGGGGGAUAACCAGUCGAAAGACUGGCUAAUACCGCAUGAGAUCUCACGAUGAAAGCGGGGGACCUUAGGGCCUCGCGUCUGGAGAGGAGCCUGCGGCAGAUUAGCUUGUUGGAGGGUAAUGGCCUACCAAGGCUGCGAUCUGUAGCUGGUCUGAGAGGACGGCCAGCCACACUGGCACUGACACACGGGCCAGACUCCUACGGGAGGCAGCAGUGGGAAUUUUGGGCAAUGGGCGAAAGCCUGACCCAGCAACGCCGCGUGAAGGAGGAAAUCCUUCGGGAUGUAAACUUCACAAGC
rnacentral:rRNA from 1 species